rnacentral:lncRNA from 1 species
CUGUGCUCUGUCCUCCAGAAUCUAGCACAGUUUGAAAAGUGGCUCUGGAGCGAUGUAGAAGCUUUUUUUGGUGAGGUUCCUCACCCUAAUGAUGAGAAAAUAUGGCUGUACCACAGAUCAACUAAUUGAUAAAAAGACAAAUUCAGAACUUUGAAUACUAUUGGCUUAACUCAUCUGCUUUAAUUCAGCCUGUUUUUGGAGGGCAAUGUGAAAUAUUUACCUAACAAUUUUUUCCAAGUUUGGAAUACUACAUUUAAAUAAUUUGGAAUCAUGUAGACACUGAAGGCAAGAACAUUGCAAAUAAAUAG